UCUUUGCGCCCUUUCAUUUUUCUAUACGUUUCUAAGUUUUGAUUCUCACUUUCUCUUUUACACAUUUAUCGAAAAUGUAUAGCCAUGGAACAUGAAAAGCCACUACUCAAUAACAAUAAACACACCUUCCCAUAUCUCUUUGAUCCAUUUUACGAAGUGCAUCGUUACAAAAGAGAGAAAUACCUCUUCAUUUCAAUACCACAAAGCAUCUGCCUCUCCAACCUUCAAUUUUUACUAACAACAAAUUUGCAGAAGAAAAUAAAUGCAGCAUCCAUCACCAAUGGGUACAACAAAACCAUGGAGAAAAACAAAAACAGAAGCAGCGAGAACACAAAAAAUAGAAGGGAAAAAGCAGUGCUGCCGGAAAUCAGAUCUGACACGUCCACUCGUGCGAACAUCGCUCCGCCUUCGCAAACCCGUUGGCAACUACAACGCGACAACCACCGUAGACGCACAAAGCUUCAUCCGACAUUCUUGCUUUGUUAAUAAACUGUGAGUUCAUUGACUUAAAAAUGGAGUCACUUUCUACUGGUAAUACUAUGAUGGUAGCCAGGGACUCAUCAAACUAGGUUUGUUUCUAACUAUAUAAUUAAUUUUAUAUUUUAUUUCAAACUAUAAGCUACUGGACUUAAUUUUCUAUUUAGUUUUUCAUUUUGAAUCAUUCUAAUCCUAAUUACUAUUCUGUGUUAGGUUUUGCUGCAAUUAGAUAUGUUUCACAAUGGACUUUCUAGGAUGUUCGAGUGCAACACUGUAAAGUGUUAUGUUUGGGUUACUCUCAAACUAUGUGUGUGUGCUGAUGAUGUAUUGUUUGUUAGAUUGUGAAAGUUUUGGAUUUAUAGGUUCUGAAACUUACUUUUUGUUUGUAUGUUUGUUGUUUUUGAUUUUGUGUUUUUUUCUCUUUUCAGCAUCCUUGAAAUCUAAAUUUGGUUGGAUAAACCAACUCUUGGCAUUGCUCUCAUGAAUUUGAGGUAUAAAGAUGAAUGUGCAGUUGAAUCAAGGGGUAAAGUCAACGAUCCUGAUUUUGAUACCGAGAGUUAGCCAAGUUGAUGUUGCAAGAUCUUCUCCGAGUUGUUUGAAUCUUGAAGAAUGGGCUCAUAUGCCUCAUGCUGCCGAUAUGUAUGUUCUUGGUGAUUGAUAAGUUGAAUGUGGUUGAUAAGCUAUUGUUGCUUGAGAGAUUGAACAGCGUGAUAUGCAGUUCGUUGACAGAGUAUUUUGGAUAGAAGGUGAGGAAGAGGAUUCUGAUUACGAUGGCGAUGGCGAUCCUGAUGAUUAGAAUCAAUAGGAGGCUGCAUAGCCAACAGAAGAAUCAGCAUCAACAACUUCUUCUUUUCUUUGGUGAUUUUAGAUAAUGGUUCAUAGGAAUACUAGGUUGUUGUGC